rnacentral:lncRNA from 1 species
CAUCGUUUUGCAGGUCAGGAAACUGAUAUUGAAAGACUGUCUUGCCUAAAGUUGAACCAUAGGAGUGAAAUAUGAAUGUUCAAGCUCAUCAAUUCAUGGCUCUCUAUGCUUUGAGGGUCCCAUUCUGCAUACACUUGAUGCAAAAGCGUCCAAGGGCAUCUUCUUUGAGAAAAGGUCAAAUUACAGGAGAUGCCUAUGCUGCAGGGGAGCCUGGAAACAUAGGAUACAAGUAGCAAUCACAUCCACAGGCUUCAUCCUGCAUAAAUGAUCCAUCAUCUCCUUGAAGAAAGGCUACAGGGGGAACUAGAUGGGGAACCACACUGUUCUUGUAAUGUGACUGGAUGCUGUGGUUCUGUGCUGAUGUGUUUGAUCCCUGCUCCUAGAGGUACCAACACUGUUACUAUUUCAUAUUUAAGAAGCUGCUGCAACUGGCUGGUAUUAAGCCAGGGCUCUAUUGAUAACCAGGACAAUUUUGUUAAAGCUACCUCUGAUGUCUUAUCAUAAACCUACAGCUAUCAUUCCUCUUACUUCUAGUAAGAAACUAUGUCCUCCACAUCUCCUUUCCAGGAAUUCACAGACCAUCGUGCAUAGACCACACCUGAGUCCACAUCUCCUUUCCAGGAAUUCAUGGACCAUCUUGUAAAGACCACAUCUGAGUUCACGGCAGAGCACCAG